GUUCCGUAGGUGAACCUGCGGAAGGAUCAUUAUUGUAUAACCGAGGUGCGAGGGCUGUCGCUGACCCGAAAGGUCGUGCACGCCCGAGUGCCCUCACACACAUCCAUCUCACCCCUAUGUGCACCACCGCGUGGGUCCCCCUUUGGCUUGUUCGGAGGGGGGCUUACGUUUUCACAAAAACUUUGUAUGCAGUGUAGAAUGUAUUUUUGUUUUUGCGAUCACGCAAUCAAUACAACUUUCAACAACGGAUCUCUUGGCUCUC
rnacentral:misc_RNA from 1 species